GACGAACGCUGGCGGCGUGCUUAACACAUGCAAGUCGAACGGAAAGGCCCCCCCCUUGGUGGGGGUGCUCGUGUGGCGAACGGGUGAGUAACACGUGGGUGAUCUGCUCUGUAUUUCGGGAUAAGCUUGGGAAACUGGGUCUAAUACCGGAUAGGACCAUGGUUUAGUGUCUCGUGGUGGAAAAAUUAUUGUUUUGGUGCAGGAUGAGCUCGUGGCCUAUCAGCUUGUUGGUGGGGUAAUGGCCUACCAAGGCGUCGACGGGUAGCCGGCCUGAGAGGGUGGACGGCUACAUUGGGACUGAGAUACGUCCCAGACGCGUACGGGAGGCAGCAGUGGCGAAUGUUGCACAAGGGGAGCAAGCCAGAUGCAGCGACGCCGCGUGGGGGAUGACGGCCUUCGGGGUGUAAACUCCUUGCGUUAGGGACGAAGCCACACCGUUUUGGGGUGUGGGGACGGUACCUUGGUAAAGAAGCACCGGCUAACUACGUG
rnacentral:rRNA from 1 species